rnacentral:rRNA from 1 species
UAGCGAAGGGGGCUAGCGUUGCUCGGAAUCACUGGGCGUAAAGCGCACGUAGGCGGAUUGCGUAAGUCAGGGGUGAAAUCCUGGAGCUCAACUCCAGAACUGCCUUUGAUACUGGCGAUCUCGAGUCCGGGAGAGGUGAGUGGAACUGCGAGUGUAGAGGUGAAAUUCGAUAGAUAUUCGCGAAGAACACCAGUGGCGAAGGCGGCUCACUGGCCCGGUACUG